AGUCGAACGGCAGCACGGGUGCUUGCACCUGGUGGCGAGUGGCGGACGGGUGAGUAAUGCAUCGGAACGUGCCGUAUAGUGGGGGAUAACGCAUCGAAAGGUGUGCUAAUACCGCAUACGCCCUGAGGGGGAAAGUGGGGGACCGAAAGGCCUCACGCUAUACGAGCGGCCGAUGUCCGAUUAGCUAGUUGGUGGGGUAAAGGCUCACCAAGGCGACGAUCGGUAGCUGGUCUGAGAGGACGACCAGCCACACUGGGACUGAGACACGGCCCAGACUCCUACGGGAGGCAGCAGUGGGGAAUUUUGGACAAUGGGGGCAACCCUGAUCCAGCCAUUCCGCGUGAGUGAAGAAGGCCUUCGGGUUGUAAAGCUCUUUUGUCAGGGAGGAAAUCCUUAGCGUUAAUACCGUUGGGGGAUGACAGUACCUGAAGAAUAAGGACCGGCUAACUACGUGCCAGCAGCCGCGGUAAUACGUAGGGUCCAAGCGUUAAUCGGAAUUACUGGGCGUAAAGCGUGCGCAGGCGGCUGAUUAAGCCAGAUGUGAAAUCCCCGGGCUCAACCUGGGAACUGCGUUUGGAACUGGUCAGCUAGAGUACGUCAGAGGGGGGUAGAAUUCCACGUGUAGCAGUGAAAUGCGUAGAGAUGUGGAGGAAUACCGAUGGCGAAGGCAGCCCCCUGG
rnacentral:rRNA from 1 species